rnacentral:lncRNA from 1 species
CUGUCAGCUAAUGGCCUUGAAGUGUUGCGUGAGAGUUGGUCUCUUCAGCUUCAAAGCGAAUGGACUUCAUGCAGUAGGUUUACACAGCUUCUCUACCCCCGCCCUCCUCCUUUCCCGCUGGCUCUUUUGUGUGUGUGUGUGUGUGUGUGUGUGUGUGUGUGUGUGUGUGUGAGAGAGGGAAGUAUUAAUAGAAACAGAUGGCAAUAUGUUUUCUUUUUUCCAUCAACAUCCCAUCUGGACGGACCCUGCCCGACUACAUGCAGACAGAGCCGGUCACCCCCACUUCCCUCGCUUUCUCUCUCUCUCUCUCUCUACCUCUCCCUCCCUCUCUCUCUCUUUCUCUCCCACUCUCUCUCUCUCACUCUGUCUUUCUCUCUUUCAUGCCAUUCUGCUUCCUGUGCCACCCUGCAUCUGCAUGGACGCGGUGCUCAGAACCUAAACAUCCCGUCUGGUGAGGGGGUCAGCCAGGGCGGCACAUGGCCACGCUUGCUGCCUCAGCCUGACUCUGCCUCCCAGAUGUUGCCGGAGAGGAAGAGAAGGAAGAGAAGGAAAAGUCAGAGAGAGAGAGGGGAGGGGGGGAGAGAGAAGAUGAGAGAAAUGGAAGAAAACAGAGAGAGAGGGAAAGAGAAGGAAAUAGAGAGAGGGUUAGAAGCCGGCACACUUGAAAGCCGCACGUGCUCCUCUGAAGUUUCCGUCUCACCUGCGCCUUCUGGGCGCGGUGCCGGUGUGUCACGGUUACGGUUACGGCAGCGGCGGCAGAGCAGGAAGUCGGCAGCCUCGGGAGCUGGAGGUGCGACUGACUCACCCACUGCUCGCCGCGUGGGCCUCCUGGACACUUCCUGGACCUUCUCACGCCCGCCUUACGUCUUCUCCUUUGGAGUGGUGAAGGGCUCAACCCUCCCCCCGCCCCCCUUUACCAACAAAGCAAAAGCUCCCCCAUUCUCUCACCCACUGCCUGGGCUACUUCCUUGUGCAGCCGUCUGGACCACAAAGCAGAACCCAGAGGCCAGGUGA